GUUAAUCUAGUUUAAAUAAAACAUAUGCUUUGCACGUAUUAAAAUGGACAUUGUCCGACUAACA
rnacentral:tRNA from 1 species